UACGUAGGGACCGAGCGUUGUCCGGAAUCAUUGGGCGUAAAGAGCGUGUAGGCGGCCUUUUAAGUCCUGCGUGAAAUCCUGCGGCUCAACCGCAGACGGUCGUGGGAAACUGGAAGGCUAGAGUGCGGGAGAGGAGAGUGGAAUUCCCGGUGUAGCGGUGAAAUGCGCAGAUAUCGGGAAGAACACCCGUGGCGAAGGCGGCUACUCUGGAACGCAACUGACGCUGAGACGCGAAAGCGUGGGGAGCAACAGGAUUAAGAAACCCC
rnacentral:rRNA from 1 species